rnacentral:rRNA from 1 species
GACGAACGCUGGCGGCGUGCUUAACACAUGCAAGUCGAACGGAAAGGCCCUGCUUUUGUGGGGUGCUCGAGUGGCGAACGGGUGAGUAACACGUGAGUAACCUGCCCUUGACUUUGGGAUAACUUCAGGAAACUGGGGCUAAUACCGGAUAGGAGCUCCUGCUGCAUGGUGGGGGUUGGAAAGUUUCGGCGGUUGGGGAUGGACUCGCGGCUUAUCAGCUUGUUGGUGGGGUAGUGGCUUACCAAGGCUUUGACGGGUAGCCGGCCUGAGAGGGUGACCGGCCACAAUGGGACUGAGAUACGGCCCAGACUCCUACGGGAGGCAGCAGUGGGGAAUAUUGCACAAUGGGCGGAAGCCUGAUGCAGCAGCGCCGCGUGCGGGAUGACGGCCUUCGGGUUGUAAACCGCUUUCGCCUGUGACGAAGCGUGAGUGACGGUAAUGGGUAAAGAAGCACCGGCUAACUACGUG